CAAUAGCGUAUAUUAAAGUUGUUGCAGUUAAAAAGCUCGUAGUUGGAUUUCUGGUAGGAGUGACCGUGCCAGACUUGAUUGUCUGUGUAUUGUGUUGUCUCCAGCCAUCCUUGUGGAGAACUUUUCUUGCAUUAAUUUGUAGGGAUUGGGACCCGCAUCGUUUACUGUGAAAAAAUUAGAGUGUUUAAAGCAGGCAAUCGCUUGAAUACAUUAGCAUGGAAUAAUAAGAUAGGACUUUGGUACUAUUUUGUUGGUUUGUAUACCAAAUUAAUGAUCAACAGGAACAGUUUGAGGAUAUUCGUAUGAACAUGUCAGGGGUGAAAUUCUUGGAUUUUGAUCAGACGAACUACUGCGAAAGCAUUUAUCAAGGAUGUUUUCAUUAA
rnacentral:rRNA from 1 species